rnacentral:rRNA from 1 species
UACAGAGGUCCCGAGCGUUGUUCGGAUUCACUGGGCGUAAGGGUGCGUAGGUGGUGAGGUAAGUCGGAUGUGAAAUCUCCGGGCUCAACCCGGAAAUGGCAUUGGAAACUACCUUGCUGGAGGAUUUGAGGGGGGAUUGGAAUACUUGGUGUAGCAGUGAAAUGCGUAGAUAUCAAGUGGAACACCAGUGGCGAAGGCGAAUCCCUGGAAAAUACCUGACACUGAGGCACGAAAGCUAGGGGAGCAAACAGG